rnacentral:rRNA from 1 species
GACGAACGCUGGCGGCGUGCUUAACACAUGCAAGUCGAACGGUAAGGCCCUGCUUUUGUCGGGUGCUCGAGUGGCGAACGGGUGAGUAACACGUGAGUAACCUGCCCCUGACUUUGGGAUAACCUCUGGAAACUGCGGCUAAUACCGGAUAGGAGCUCCUGCGGCAUGGUGGGCGGCGGAAAGUUACGGCGGUCGGGGAUGGGCUCGCGGCUUAUCAGCUUGUUGGUGGGGUAGUGGCUUACCAAGGCGUUGACGGGUAGCCGGCCUGAGAGGGUGACCGGCCACAUUGGGACUGAGAUACGGCCCAGACUCCUACGGGAGGCAGCAGUGGGGAAUAUUGCACAAUGGGCGGAAGCCUGAUGCAGCAACGCCGCGUGCGGGAUGACGGCCUUCGGGUUGUAAACCGCUUUCGCCUGUGACGAAGCGUGAGUGACGGUAAUGGGUAAAGAAGCACCGGCUAACUACGUG